rnacentral:lncRNA from 1 species
CCGCGGCACCCACGUGCAGCGGCUGGGCCCGGCGCUUUCAGGGGACCACCAGGCCCCCAGAGCGCCGUGCUAUGUUGGGGGCUAGUCACUAGCACGGGGCUGGAAGCUGAGAUCAAAGACGCCAAUGAGCCGGCGUGGGUGGAUGAGUGAGGCGGGCAAGAAGCAGCACCGGUUAGCCUGAGGGUUCGCUCCAGGGCCAGGCCUGGAGCCAGCGCCCUUACCUGCCCCUGGAAAGUCUGAGACCACUCGGGGCGGGGCGGCUGCCGGAGGGUGGGCUGCGGCUCCGUGGCGGGUUCCAGAGGGGCGGAGCCAAGGGCUGGGCGUUCCCGCGGGCGGGGCGUCCCGGGGGCGGGGCGGGCCCCUGUGUUUGUUGCACCGUGUCAGUUACUUUGUAACAAAAGUGCUGCAGCCGCUUGCUCCGGCCGGCACCCUAGGCCGGCCCGCCGCCAGCUGUCGCCGACAUGGAACCCUUGGCCAGCAACAUCCAGGUCCUGCUGCAGGCGGCCGAGUUCCUGGAGCGCCGUGAGAGAGAGCUCUGGAGACACCAAAUAAGCUAGAGGAGACCCAGGCUUCCCGGCGGAUUUCAGUCCAGCCACUGUUGUCAGAGUUCACACAGUAAACACAUCGUUCCUCCACCACCUAUGCAGAGGCCAACCACAAUCGUGGAACAGUCUUUCAUUUUGCCAACUUGCACAUAAAUCUGACUCCCUGUCACUUUUCAUGAGGCGAAGCAAUACAAUGAAAAUCCAUUCCUUCCCCUGACUGCACCUCCAAGUGGCACUGACAGAACAAGAAGCCAUAAAUAAGGUCGUUUUGCUCUCGAAAACCUCUCUUCUGACUCUUAAACUAGAAGGCAAAAGGUCUCUCUCUUGAGAUCAACAAAGGGCCUUCCAGCCCAUCCUGCUCCUGGAUUUUGUUUUGUGCAUCUAGACGCAUGCAGUGUUUUAGCCGCCUUCCACCAGCUGCAGCUCUGGAGCUUCCUGACAGUCCAAAUAAAAACAUUUGCCCGG